UACCAGCACCCCGAGUGGUCGGGACGAUUAUUGGGCCUAAAGCCUCCGUAGCCGGUCCUGCAAGUCUUCCGCUAAGUCCAGCUGCUCAACAGAUGGGCUGCGGGGGAUACUACAGGGCUAGGAGGCGGGAGAGGCAAGCGGUACUUUAUGGGUAGGGGUAAAAUCCGUUGAUCCAUAGAAGACCACCAGUGGCGAAGGCGGCUUGCCAGAACGCGCUCGACGGUGAGGGAUGAAAGCUGGGGGAGCAAACCGG
rnacentral:rRNA from 1 species